UCUUGACUAGUAUAUCGGUUCAGUACACCUGCUUGUCAUGAUCGCAGAGUUUUGGCUAGUCCGCGGGAGAGCAGGGUUCGACUCCCUGGUCGAGAG